rnacentral:rRNA from 1 species
GACGAACGCUGGCGGCGUGCUUAACACAUGCAAGUCGAACGGAAAGGCCCUGCUUUUGUGGGGUGCUCGAGUGGCGAACGGGUGAGUAACACGUGAGUAACCUGCCCUUGACUUUGGGAUAACUUCAGGAAACUGGGGCUAAUACCGGAUAGGAGCUCCUGCUGCAUGGUGGGGGUUGGAAAGUUUCGGCGGUUGGGGAUGGACUCGCGGCUUAUCAGCUUGUUGGUGGGGUAGUGGCUUACCAAGGCUUUGACGGGUAGCCGGCCUGAGAGGGUGACCGGCCACAUUGGGACUGAGAUACGGCCCAGACUCCUACGGGAGGCAGCAGUGGGGAAUAUUGCACAAUGGGCGGAAGCCUGAUGCAGCAACGCCGCGUGCGGGAUGACGGCCUUCGGGUUGUAAACCGCUUUCGCCUGUGACGAAGCGUGAGUGACGGUAAUGGGUAAAGAAGCACCGGCUAACUACGUGCCAGCAGCCGCGGUGAUACGUAGGGUGCGAGCGUUGUCCGGAUUUAUUGGGCGUAAAGGGCUCGUAGGUGGUUGAUCGCGUCGGAAGUGUAAUCUUGGGGCUUAACCCUGAGCGUGCUUUCGAUACGGGUUGACUUGAGGAAGGUAGGGGAGAAUGGAAUUCCUGGUGGAGCGGUGGAAUGCGCAGAUAUCAGGAGGAACACCAGUGGCGAAGGCGGUUCUCUGGGCCUUUCCUGACGCUGAGGAGCGAAAGCGUGGGGAGCGAACAGGCUUAGAUACCCUGGUAGUCCACGCUGUAAACGGUGGGUACUAGGUGUGGGGUCCAUUCCACGGGUUCCGUGCCGUAGCUAACGCUUUAAGUACCCCGCCUGGGGAGUACGGCCGCAAGGCUAAAACUCAAAGGAAUUGACGGGGCCCCGCACAAGCGGCGGAGCAUGCGGAUUAAUUCGAUGCAACGCGUAGAACCUUACCUGGGUUUGACAUGGAUCGGGAGUGCUCAGAGAUGGGUGUGCCUCUUUUGGGGUCGGUUCACAGGUGGUGCAUGGCUGUCGUCAGCUCGUGUCGUGAGAUGUUGGGUUAAGUCCCGCAACGAGCGCAACCCUUGUUCACUGUUGCCAGCACGUUAUGGUGGGGACUCAGUGGAGACCGCCGGGGUCAACUCGGAGGAGGGUGGGGAUGACGUCAAGUCAUCAUGCCCCUUAUGUCCAGGGCUUCACGCAUGCUACAAUGGCUGGUACAGAGAGUGGCGAGCCUGUGAGGGUGAGCGAAUCUCGGAAAGCCGGUCUCAGUUCGGAUCGGGGUCUGCAACUCGACCUCAUGAAGUCGGAGUCGCUAGUAAUCGCAGAUCAGCAACGCUGCGGUGAAUACGUUCCCGGGGCU